CCUACGGGAGGCUGCAGUGAGGAAUAUUGGUCAAUGGGCGCGAGCCUGAACCAGCCAAGUAGCGUGAAGGAUGACUGCCCUACGGGUUGUAAACUUCUUUUAUAAAGGAAUAAAGUGAGGCACGUGAGCCUUUUUGUAUGUACUUUAUGAAUAAGGAGCGGCUAACUCCGUGCCAGCAGCCGCGGUAAUACGGAGGAUCCGAGCGUUAUACGGAUUUAUGGGGUUUAAAGGGAGCGUAGAGGGGUUGUUAAGUCAGUUGUGAAAGUUUGCGGCUCAACCGUAAAAUUGCAAUUGUUCCUGGCAGCCUUGAGUACAGUUGCGGUUGGCGGAAUUCGUGGUGUCGCGG
rnacentral:rRNA from 1 species